GUUCUUCACCUUAACAGAUGAAUUUCUGAAAGAAAGCUCCAUGCUCCAGAAGUCUCCAUAGAUUUACUCACUUUUUCUCUACAAGACUGAUCUUUUUAGGACUGUUUCGCACACUCACCUGGAUGAUGACCCUCUGCUGCUAACCACUGAGCCUCAUUUUACCAGGGCAGAAGCAGCUCUAAACGCCUGCAGCUCUCCGAGAGGUUUAUGGCAGCUGCAGAGAGCUCCUCUCUGACCUCCGUUAAAGAUUACGCAGGGGACAUGGCAGCCAAGUCAGAUGCCAGGUUCAAAAGGACAAUAUUUCAACUGCUGUUUGACCGAUGCAGCUGGAACUUCUCCCUUCCACCGUUCAAGGAAAAGGCAGGUUGUCUCACACUUGGGAAGAAGAAAGGAUGGUCCCUUGCUCUCAUCAAGCCGGGGUUCUUCAAGACAGAGUCAGCAGGACACCGCUGCGUGUCCUCCAGCCCAGCUUUUCCAAGCACUUUGUAACAAACCCAUUGAAUUUCGAGGGAAUUUCGAGGGGAAUCCAGGAACAUCACAAGGGUUCUGUGCUCACUGUCCCCACCUACGAGCAGAGUGAGGCAAAGGGCUUGUAUGUGGCCCAAAAAGAUAUGAGCCAAGAGAAACCGCAUCUCAUCAGCGCAGAGCAUCUGCACAGCUACCGCAGGAUAACAUCAACACCGUCAUAUCGAAAAGCUGCAGCCGCUGGAGGGUUAUCCCGAGCGCUACACGCCGUGAGCUGCAAUGGAGAGACAGCCAAGAAACACGACGUCACUUUGAGCAGUUCCCAGUGGGGAUGAGAGCUCAGAAAAUUCUGGUAAUGUUGCAGUUUUCCCUUAUUUGAGGUCUGUACCGCAAAACGAGGUAUCACUUAAGGCAAAGAAGAAAAUGAAAGAGCGUGCGUCCUGGCUAAACCGAACCAAAGUGACUCAGCAGCUACAGAAGGGGCGGAGAGUUGAGAAAUACUGCAUAUAUUACGGAGUUCAUACACCUUCUCAACAAAUACUUUUCUGUAGCCCUGGGGACUGCGUGCCCUGAGCUCUCGCACAGCAAAGACACUUGUCUCUUGGCAUGUGUCCCUUGGGAUGGACUUUGGAAUCACUGGCUGGAUCCGACCAACUGUAAUAGGGAAGAAGAUGCCAACUAGGAAGAUAUUCAUGCUGCAGUCCAAAGGUGUUAUCACAACUAACAGCCGUGCCUGCCUCGCGUCGAAACAUCUAAUGACUACAUCCAUAAGCCGUGGAUCUGCAGAGACACCCGAUUCAGCAUGGGUUGAACAAAUUUCUGGAGAUCCUGAGUAAAUAUUCAGGCUAACUUGUGCUGAGCUCCCUGCUGCUUCACAGGCUGUGCUGUUAAUACAUAAAGCGAGUUCAGAUACUCUCGCAUGAGCCCCAGUCGCACCUCUGGAUUGCAGGGUGGGUCUGUGCGCGGCCACCGGCGUACAGGAAAGGAUUUGGAACGGUAUCGCAAUAAUUUAGAGAUAUUUAUAGUUUUUUGCUGUCAACUGCAGGCAGAAUACAUUAGCAAGAGGUCUUAAGAGCUGAACAGCUCUUUGGCAACCAAGCACCUGUAAUUGUAGGGAAAAACCGUAGGUCCAAAACAGAUCUAUAUUCACAUACAUGUUUUGUACAUUGUUUUAUAUCUGACAAACCUGUCUUACUGCUGGUGAGCCUUACACUUGACAGCUUCCCACAACACGCCGCAAAAGGGACCGAUGGCAUAAGCCUGAGCUCCUGGGCGGACUGUCAGAUCACAGAAGCUAUUGAACGCGAGUGAAUCACAGCUCCCUUACUGCUCAGGAUUGUCUCAGCCUUGUAACGUUAAUACGGAGGGACAUGCAACCUAUGCAGACGUUUAUUAGAGUUCAUUCAAGAAAACGAACGUUUUCCCAUCCCUCAGCAAAGCUGCAGAUGUCUCUUCGUAUUGAGGAACAAGCAGCCGUUAAAGAGAACCAAAGCCAGAGGAUCCCUGGUUUUGCUGAUCCCGCAGGGCAGAAGAGAGUCAUCGUAGGACUGUUGGGCUUCUGUCUCCUCCUCGACGUCUCGGAACUGGUCGAAAUAGGGGUGAGCCAACGCCUCCGUCGCCGUAAGGCGCUUUUCCACAUCCAGCUGCAGCAUCUUGUCAAGCAGG